rnacentral:rRNA from 1 species
AACUACAAAGGAAUUGACGGGACCCCGCACAAGCGGUGGAUCAUGUUGUUUAAUUCGAUGAUACGCGAAGAACCUUACCAGGUCUUGACAUCCCCCCGCGAUGCUUUAGAGAUAAAGCGGAGGUAUUCGGGGAGACAGGUGGUGCAUGGUUGUCGUCAGCUCGUGUCGUGAGAUGUUGGGUUAAGUCCCGCAACGAGCGCAACCCUUGUCCUUAGUUACCAGCACGUUAUGGUGGGCACUCUAAGGAGACUGCCGGUGACAAACCGGAGGAAGGUGGGGAUGACGUCAAGUCAUCAUGGCCCUUACGGCCUGGGCUACACACGUGCUACAAUGGUCGGUACAAAGGGUUGCCAAGCCGCGAGGUGGAGCUAAUCCCAUAAAACCGAUCGUAGUCCGGAUCGCAGUCUGCAACUCGACUGCGUGAAGUCGGAAUCGCUAGUAAUCGUGAAUCAGAAUGUCACGGUGAAUACGUUCCCGGGCCUU